AAUGAACGCUGGCGGUAGGCCUAACACAUGCAAGUCGAACGGCAACACCAUAAGAGCUUGCUCUUACCGGUGGCGGGGGGCGGGCGGGUGAGGAAUACAUCGGAAACUUCUUUUUCGUGGGGGAUAACGGAGGGAAAAUUACGCUACUACCGCAUACAUCCUACGGGUUGAAGCAGGGGAUCUUCGGACCUUUGGCGAUUGAAUUAGCCGAGUUCGGGUUGCUUAGUUGGGGGGGUAAAGGCCCACCAAGGCGAGGCUCCGUUGCUGGCCUGAGAGGAUGGCCAGCAAAACGGGAACGGGGAAACGGCCAAGAUCCCUACGGGAGGCAGCAGUGGGGAAUAUUGGAAAAUGGGCGCAAGCCUGAUCCAGCCAGACCGCGUGGGUGAAGAAGGCCUUCGGGUUGUAAAGUCCUUUUGUUGGGAAAGAAAAGCAGCAGGUUAACACCGCGCUGUUCUGACGGUACCAAAAGAAUAAGCACCGCCUAACUUCGG
rnacentral:rRNA from 1 species